GUGGGGAAUAUUCCGCAAUGGACGAAAGUCUGACGGAGCAACGCCGAGUGAGUGAUGAAGGUUUUCGGACUGUAAAGCUCUGUUGUUUAGGACGAAAGUGCCUGUUGCGAAUAGUUACAGGUAUUGACGGUACUGAACGAGGAAGCCACGGCUAACUACGUGCCAGCAGCCGCGGUAAUACGUAGGUGGCAAGCGUUGUCCGGAAUUAUUGGGCGUAAAGAGCAUGUAGGCGGGAAUCUAAGUCUGUUGUGAAAAUGCGGGGCACAACACCGUAUUGCGAUGGAAACUGGGUUUCUUGAGUGCAGGAGAGGAAAGGGGAAUUCCCAGUGUAGCGGUGAAAUGCGUAGAUAUUGGGAGGAACACCAGUGGCGAGGGCGCCUUUCUGGACUGUGUCUGACGCUGAGAUGCGAAAGCCAGGGUAGCGAACGGGAUUAGAUACCCGUGUAGUAC
rnacentral:rRNA from 1 species